UACGUAGGGUGCGAGCGUUGUCCGGAAUUAUUGGGCGUAAAGAGCUUGUAGGCGGUUUGUCGCGUCUGCUGUGAAAUUUCGGGGCUCAACCCCGAACUUGCAGUGGGUACGGGCAGACUAGAGUGUGGUAGGGGAGACUGGAAUUCCUGGUGUAGCGGUGAAAUGCGCAGAUAUCAGGAGGAACACCAAUUGCGAAGGCAGCUCGCUGGGACGUUUACUGACGCUGAGACGCGAAAGCGUGGGGAGCAAACAGG
rnacentral:rRNA from 1 species